AUUGAACGCUGGCGGCAGGCCUAACACAUGCAAGUCGAACGGAUGAACGGUGCUUGCUUCUGGUUUCCGCGGCGGACGGGUGAGUAAUGCAUAGGAAUCUCCCUGGUAGUGGUUUAUUACGUCCUGACGCGGGCGCUCCUACCCCAUACUUCCUGAGGGAGAAAGUGGGGGAUCUUCGGACCUCACGCUCUCAGAUGAGUCUAGGUCGGAUUAGAUAGUUGGUGGGUUAAAGGCCUACCAAGGCGACGAUCCGUAACUGGUCUGAGAGGAUGAUCAGUCACACUGGAACUGAGACACGGUCCAGACUACUACGGGAGGCAGCAGUGGGGAAUAUGGGACAAUGGGCGAAAGCAUGAUACAGCCAUGCCGCGUGUGUGAAGAAGGCCUUCGGAUUGUAAAGCACUUUAAGUGGGGAGGAAGGGCAGUAGGUUAAUACCUAGCUGUUGUGACGGUACCAAGAGAAUGAGCACCGGCUAACUUCGUG
rnacentral:rRNA from 1 species